CCGGUAAACGGCGGCCGUAACUAUAACGGUCCUAAGGUAGCGAAAUUCCUUGUCGGGUAAGUUCCGACCUGCACGAAUGGCGUAAUGAUGGCCAGGCUGUCUCCACCCGAGACUCAGUGAAAUUGAACUCGCUGUGAAGAUGCAGUGUACCCGCGGCAAGACGGAAAGACCCCGUGAACCUUUACUAUAGCUUGACACUGAACAUUGAGCCUUGAUGUGUAGGAUAGGUGGGAGGCUUUGAAGUGUGGACGCCAGUCUGCAUGGAGCCGACCUUGAAAUACCACCCUUUAAUGUUUGAUGUUCUAACGUUGACCCGUAAUCCGGGUUGCGGACAGUGUCUGGUGGGUAGUUUGACUGGGGCGGUCUCCUCCUAAAGAGUAACGGAGGAGCACGAAGGUUGGCUAAUCCUGGUCGGACAUCAGGAGGUUAGUGCAAUGGCAUAAGCCAGCUUGACUGCGAGCGUGACGGCGCGAGCAGGUGCGAAAGCAGGUCAUAGUGAUCCGGUGGUUCUGAAUGGAAGGGCCAUCGCUCAACGGAUAAAAGGUACUCCGGGGAUAACAGGCUGAUACCGCCCAAGAGUUCAUAUCGACGGCGGUGUUUGGCACCUCGAUGUCGGCUCAUCACAUCCUGGGGCUGAAGUAGGUCCCAAGGGUAUGGCUGUUCGCCAUUUAAAGUGGUACGCGAGCUGGGUUUAGAACGUCGUGAGACAGUUCGGUCCCUAUCUGCCGUG
rnacentral:rRNA from 1 species